AUUGAACGCUGGCGGCAGGCCUAACACAUGCAAGUCGAACGAGUGGCGGACGGGUGAGCAAUGUCUGGGCAACUGCCUGAUGGAGGGGGAUAACUACUGGAAACGGUAGCUAAUACCGCAUACCAUCGGAUGUGCCCAGGGGGGAUUAGCUAGUAGGUGUGGUAAAGGCUCACCUAGGCGACGAUCCCUAGCUGGUCUGAGAGGGUGACCAGCCACACUGGAACGGAGACUCGGUCCAGACUCCUACGGGAGGCAGCAGUGGGGAAUAUUGGACAAGGGGCGAAAGCCUGAUGGAGCCAUGCCGCGUGUAUGAAGAAGGCCUUCGGAUUGUAAAGUACUUUCGGCGGGGAGGCGUUACCCACAGAGAAAGCACCGGCUAACUCCGUGCCAGCAGCCGCGGUAAUAC
rnacentral:rRNA from 1 species